GCAGUUGACUGAAUGACCGCGUUUUUUUAAAAAAUGAGGAAAGUCCGAGCAUCGUAGGACAGGGCGCUGGAUAACAUCCAGUGAAGGCGACUUCAAGGAAAGUGCAACAGAAAGCAAACCGCAUACCAAAUAGUAUGUAAGGGUGAAAGGGUAGGGUAAGAGCCUACCGCGCAUAUGGCGACUUAUGCGGCGCUGUAAACCCCGCCUGAUGCAAGAUAGAGAGCGCAAGGUGGUCCGCCGUAGCUCUCGACAAAAUCGCUUGAACAUAUCGGCAACGAUAUGUCCAGACAGAUGGUCAUUCUCGACAGAACUCGGCUUACAGGUCAUCUGCGUUU
rnacentral:RNase_P_RNA from 1 species